UUUAAUACUUAAAUUAAACAUUAAAAAAGAGAAAUUCAGGAAGUCAAUCAUAUGUAGCCUUCACUACCAAGCCCAUCAGGCCACCAAUCUUGUUUGAUUUGUCAAGGUACGUUUGAAUUGUAGAUGGCAAAACAAACAAUGGCCUUCUCUUUACAAGCACUUCGCUAUCAUGCGGAUCAAAAGUUGUAUCAUCUUCAGACCCCUCAAUCUCCCAUUGUACGCACAAGUGCAUAUAAGAAGUACUGCAUGGAUGAAUAUCCAACCGGCACAAAUGCAAGCGUUGCUGUAUUGUCAUAUACUGGACAAUAAAACCAGAUGAAGAAUAUUAUAGCAUCUAUAAUGAGGUAAACAAUGAGCGACAUGCCGUCAAACGAAAAGGUUCAGAGGCUGUCAUCGUUGACUAUGUUGCUAUAGAUGGGAAGAAGCAUCUUCAGAAUCAUCCGCAGAAGGUGAACAUACGCUUUUGACACCCUAGAAACCCUGUCAUUGGUGAUAAUAAGUUUAGCAGCCGACAUGGACAAAAAGGUGAUUGCUCCCAGUUGUGGCCUGAUAUUGAUAUGCCAUUUUCUGAGGUUACGGGAAUGCGUCCAGAUCUUAUCAUCAAUCCACAUGCAUUUCCUUCAAGGAUGGCAAUAGGAAUGCUCUCGGAAUCGAUUGCUGCAAAGAUUGUUAUUAAGAAAAGUGACACAUGUCUGGAAGAAAAGGGAGAACGUCAAAAAUAGAACGUUAAAGAGAAGGUUGCUAUAGCAUUCAAUGUUGUCAGAAAAAACUCUUGAUAUUUCCCAACUCUAACCAUAUAAAGAAUAACCAUUAUAAAUCAGUUAAUCUAAACUUAGUACUUAAUAAAUACUUGCCCAAUCUCGAGAUAA